GUGAGAUUCCAGGAAUCCAGCUCAUUUCCAUUAUCUUGUUCUUUCUUAUAUAAGGAAAACGAAAGAAUUGAGAAAAUUUGCCUCUCCUGCCAACUUACCCGCCCUGUCCCUGAAGUUUCCCAGCACCGCGCUUGCACUGGAUGUCAGGCUCAGCCUCUCCCUUCCCCGCUGCCCCAUGCAAGGGCUGUUCAGGGCCGGCUGGAGCCCCGGCGGAGCCCGGCAGCCGCCCGGGCCCCGCUGGCACCGGAGCGCGGCCGCCGCUGCCCGGGGCCGGCAGACAAAGGGAGCCGCAUCUGAGCCCUGCCGAGGCUGCGCUUGCCGGAAGAAACCUAACAAUUCUUAUUUACCAAAUUGACAAAAUCCUAUCAUUGCAAUUAAGGGGAUAUGUAAUUAACUGUGUCUUAAUUACAGCAGCUGCCACUUCAUCUGAAUGCAGCAAUUUGCGGAGAAACCGGGGGAGAUGCUUUAAAUUCGUGUGUGUAAACAGCGGGAGCGCAAACAGAGCGGCGUGCGCGGCUCCCGAGGGCGCGGUGCCUGUCCCGGGGGCACGGGCGAAGGCAGAGGCUCCCCAGAAGGCAGAGGCUGCCAGCCUACCUGGCCCUGGUGGCCUCUGGAAAUCCCUCGGGAGCUUCAGGAAGCCCUGCCGCAAACCCAUCGGCCCGGACUCGCACCUCGAGCUGCAGGGCUGAGCCCAGCGCCGCAAAGCCUCCUGGCAGAGGAAGGUUUUGAAGAGCCUCUCCUGACUCCCGGCCUCCGUGGGAGCAGCAGCCCCCGGUGCUUGUGCUGGGUGCACCGGGCGAGGUGAAUUUCGCUUGUUCUCUCGCCGUGCACUUUCCUGGCUUCAUCGCUGUGGGCCGGCAGGAGCACCCCUGCCAGCCCGCGUCCUCUCUGCUGCUCAGACCCCAUCCGGCUCCCGCAGGUCUGAGUGCUGUUCUAAAAGCCUCUGCAUCCUUUGCUGCUGCAGGGUCCCGUGGGUCACUUCCUGGGAGCUGCUGUGGACUUCCCAGUGUGCCAGAGUUCUCCCUGCUGGAGGUCAGGGUGUUUGUGGGUUCACUUGGGUCUCACAAACCACUUGGGUUUUGCCACCUCUCCAGCCCACCUCAGUGGUUACCAGCUCCUGCUUCCUGCCUGUAAGCCGAGCUUGGUGACUGGCUGCCGUGGCUUAGCGUGGUGAGCUGUGACAGUGGAUGUGGUUUUGGAUGUGGAGAUGCAGCAUGGAUUUCCCUGCACUUCCCAGGUAAGAGCCACUGGCACUCAGGAGGUAGGAAGAGGGUGGUGCCCUGCUGGGAUUGCUUCCCAGCUCUGCUCCCCAGAUGUGACUGCUCCUGGGGAUCAGGAGGAGAGGCCAUGGUAUCCCUCUGUGCCUCCGUUUACUCGUGUCAGCACAGAGCAUCUGUGCCUCAGGUACGGCUCACAAAUACUGAGCCAAGCCCAGAAGCAUUGAUUGCUGAGCUACAGCUUGAAAAGAGCCUUCCUUGCACACCCCCUCUGCCACUGCUAAUCAAUAGGACUGAUGUGACAAAGGCUGAGGACUGCGCCCGCUCAGCUUGGCAGACAUCAUUGGGGCUUCAUAAUUCAGCUGCAUUGAUUUGUCCUGUAUAUUCCACAUGUGAAAUACAGCUUCUCUCCAUGUGCUGUCAAGGCAGCACAGGAAGGACAUCCUGCUUGGUGCUAGCAACAUCCCUCUGGUUUCCUAACUGAAACCUAAACUCUUGUCUUAGUGUUCCAGUAAUGGGCAUCAUCACAGAGACGGGAUUAUUAAUACAUGCAUCAAGAAUUUGAAAACUCGGGAUGACAUCCUGUCACUAUUUAAAUGAUGGCACAACCUCCAUGGCUGCUGGUGUAACCAGGAUUUCACCAGCUGGUGCUACUCAGCUGUCACAAACUCUCUUCACAUUGCUCUGGGGGCCUUUGUGUUGCAGUCAAUGGCACUUGGAGAAAAACACAGUUAAACUUGUUAAAACUUGUCCAUGUUAAUCUCUUAAAAACCACUUAGUCAUUUUAGAUUUCCAUGCUGAAUCAGGCUUCAUGGAAACCUACUAAUGUUCCUCUUUCUGUCUUCUUUGGGAUGGAGCACACACAUGGCGUUUUUAAUACCAGUGACAUUUGCACGGACAAGCCGCCUUUGUUUCAUCACCAUUCACAUUUUGCUGCCCACCUUUGGAAAGGGCUUUUAUUUAACCUUGUUUCAUGUGGAAACAAGGCCAAGACAAUAAUCCUGUUAGCUCCCUCCAGGGGAAUCCCGAACUUUCUGCCCCGUUUUGAGGAAGAUGAUGUUCUCAAAGAUGUACAGUUUGGUUCCUUUGGCUGAAUGUGCACCUGAGAAGAAAACAGAAACCCAGACCUGCAGGACCUCAGGAGCAGCAUUAGCAGGUGCCAUGAAGGAAAGAAGAUUUACAAGCACUGAAGCAACAGAUAUUUGCCUUCUGCAGCACAAAAUGGAGAAAUUGCUAAAGGGAGCACAUCAGACACCAGAUUCUCACCAACUUGGUCUUAACUUCUGAGAAGCUGCUUCAAACAGCGGACUCAACACAAUGAUGAAAUACUCAGAGCAGACACUGACUGGUUCUGGAAGCAGAGCGGGAGUGCAUUGCCUGAAGGCUGAGUUGAAUUGUAACACAGCGCGAUCUUGCCAGGAUGGCUAGGUAAAGCAUCCCACACAACAUCCUCAUUUCUUGAACUUUUAUCACUAAGAAAUCAUCAUUUUGAAGCUGAUGGGCAUUUACAUCCCAGGUGGCUGGCAUCUCUUUGUGAAUUUUUUAUUUUACUUUGCUAGAAUAGCAAAGGUAUCUCUUUGUGAAUUUUUUAUUUUACUUUGCUAGAACAUCAAGAGCCUGGUCUGGAGCAAUUUCAUGCUCCGCAGGUAGGGCCAGACUCUGUAGGAUCUGUAUUGUUACAAGCUCAAAGCAUCCGCAGUGAAGGCUUCUGCCCUCUAAUCUUUGUGCGCCCAAAGCAUUUUUCAUCCAUCCCUGACCUCUGUAUCUCUCGCUUUUGCAGGCAAUCUGUUGUCCUCCCUUGCAAAACCUUCCCUGUCUCUGUCUCCCAGUGAUGUGCGGCUGAUUCCCACAGCAGAGGAUGGAAAGUCUUGUGUGCCUGCUUCCCCUCUCCGCUGCAUCCGUCACCCUGCACGGGCGUUGCUGGGUCCCUGUGCUGGGGAGCAGCAUGGGCGUGGCUCAUGCAACAGCACUUCCCACCUCUUCCACCUAGACUGACAUUUAAUAAAUGUCUUGUAAACCUCUGA